rnacentral:misc_RNA from 1 species
GAUGAAGAACGAAGUGAAAUGCGAUAAGUAAUGUGAAUUGCAGAAUUCAGUGAAUCAUCGAAUCUUUGAACGCACAUUGCGCCCCUUGGUAUUCCGAGGGGCAUGCCUGUUCGAGCGUCAUUAUAACCCCUCAAGCUCAGCUUGGUGUUGGGGCCUGCUGCACUGGCAGCCCUUAAAAUCAGUGGCGGCGCCAUCUGGCUCUAAGCGUAGUAAUUCUUCUCGCUAUGGAGUCCUGGUGGAUGCUUGCCAUCAACCCCCAAUUUUUCUAUGGUUGACCUCGGAUCAGGCAGGGAUACCCGCUGAACUUAAGCAUAUCAAUAAGCGGAGGA